rnacentral:tRNA from 1 species
GGGGAUUUAGCUCAGUGGUAUAAGUGCCUGCCUUGAAAGCACAUGGUUGUGAGUUCAAUCCCCA